UUCAGUUCUCUUUACCUUUUACUUUGAAUUUGAUUAGUAAAGGGCUAAGAUGACUGGCA
rnacentral:pre_miRNA from 1 species